GAGGGUGACAGAUGGCUACAAACCGGUCAUAGGCCCUCACACUCAGGAGCAUGUCUUUCUUCCAUGCCUCCAAAAACAGCAAAGAGAGACAUCUGAGUCAGGCAGCCUGCAUAGGAGAUGACUCUGCUGUGAGAUUGGAUGUCCACAAUCAUCUUGGGGACCGUGUUGGAGGUGAAACCGAUGUCAGCCAAGGACAGGUUGGAGAGGAAGAAGUACAUGGGGGUGUGGAGGUGGAAGUCAGAGCUGACGGCCAGGAUAAUGAGCAGAUUCUCCAGCACCAUGACUAGGUACAUGAACAGGAACAGCCCAGCGAGGGCCAGCUGCAGUUUUGGAUCCUCUGAGAGUUCUAGGAGGAGGAAUUUUGAAGCAUCUGUUAGAUUCUGUGGGUCUGUAUAAGUUUGGACAUAUUUUGAGUAGAAAAGAGGAUUGAAAAAUAGAAAACAAGUAAACCAACACCCAGAACUGUGUCUGCAUUUUGGAUAUAAGCAAUUCACAAGUAAUGUUUUCAGAUUUCAGAGCAAUCCACACUCAGCAAUAUUGUGCAGUUCUGACAAACUCAAUUUUUUUAUAAUUCUUUUAUUGAGUUUUGUGUUAUUCACUUCUUGCUGUACACACCUGCCUUAGAGACACUAGAUUCAAGAAUGUUCCAAGAACCAGAUCAUCAUAUAUAACAAAUUCAUAAUUGCUAGAAAAUACAGCCUAUCUUUUCCAAAGAAAAAUAUGUAAUAAAAUCAUUCUCUUUGCUUUAAGAAAAAGUUUAUCCUAAUUAAAAGAAAUUAAGAACUCAAAUGUAUUAUUUUAUUCUAAUAGAUUGCCACAAGUUCCCUUGAUUUAGAACAUUUAUAAACACUGUGUAACAGCUGAGACCAGGUCAUCUGGAAAUAAAAUUAUAGUUGAUAGUUCAUAAUCAGAAAAUAUUUCCAGAUGCCAGUUAUGUUCUCUGACUUUUCUCCUUCAAGAGAGUAAUUGCUUACUCGAGUAGGUGGGCCUUGUUUUAAAAUUCAUGUAAGAUAUAACUUCUGUCCCUAGCUUAGGCGGACUUAGAGAUUUCAUAAGAAAGUUUGGCCAGACACAGUGGCUCACACCUGUAAUCCCAGCACUUUGGGAGGCUGAGGUGGGUGGAUCACAAGGUCAGGAGAUCAAGAUUAUCCUGGGCAACAUGGUGAAACCAUGCCUCUACUAAAAUUACAAA
rnacentral:lncRNA from 10 species